AUACGUAGGGAGCGAGCGUUGUCCGGAUUUACUGGGUGUAAAGGGUGCGUAGGCGGCCCUGCAAGUCGGGUGUGAAAACCGUCGGCUCAACUGACAGAUUGCACUCGAAACUGCGGGGCUUGAGUGGAGCAGAGGCAGGCGGAAUUCCCGGUGUAGCGGUGAAAUGCGUAGAGAUCGGGAGGAACACCAGUGGCGAAGGCGGCCUGCUGGGCUUUAACUGACGCUGAGGCACGAAAGCAUGGGUAGCAAACAGGAUUAGAUACCCUGGUAGUCCAUGCCGUAAACGAUGAUUACUAGGUGUGGGGGGUCUGACCCCUUCCGUGCCGGAGCAAACGCAAUAAGCACUCCGCCUGGGGAGUACGGUCACAAGACUAAA
rnacentral:rRNA from 1 species